AGGCCUGCUGUUACCGGAGGGGCGGUCCUUCCUCCCGCCGCGGUGCGAGCUAGUAAAUGGUGAAGUACUUCCCGGCCAGGGGGCACCUGGGGCCGUGCGAUCUUGGUGGAGUGGAGUCGGAGAGGGUCCCGACCUGCGGUGAGCCCAGCCUCGCGUGCGGAGUGCUGCCUUCAGGUCUGGCGGGCGGCAAGGAAAACGCAGCGGCGCCCGUGUAGGCGAGGCACGGCCGGGGGUGGCUCACUGACGGGUCCUGCGGCCCAGGACCUGGGAACGGAACGCCGGGGAGCCCUUGCCACCUCCCUUCCUUCACCCACGUGCCGUCCCGUCCCGGGCCGGAGCGGGGAGUUGGGGCGCACCAAGUCCCCAACCCCAUUUCAGUCUAGAUCUUGCGGUUUACACCUUCAUGUGAGGUGAUUCCUAAGCAGCCAGGACCCGAGGCUGUAAAAGGGCUGCAGGAAAUGGACUGCAGUGUAAAACCCAGAAGCAGAACUUGAACGUUUAACCACUGACCCAUUUCACAGAAUGUUUUAUGCAUUUAUGAACCAAAAGAUGGAGUUGGUUUUUAUUUUUAUUAAGGUAUUGUCAGUGAUCUGAUACAACUAUAAAUAUUUGAUUGAAGAUUCGUGGACAUGUCAUUAUGUUGGACUAGUCAUUUCUGAAAGUUUCUUCAACCAAAAUUUCUAUUUGAACAUUCAAGUAUCAAAGAAUUCUGGGUUUAGAAUGCCACAAUGAUGUAUUUUCUCUGAGGACUGCAAAUUUCAUAGAGACUACAGUUGGAUUCCGGUUACAUUCUCCAAUCAAAGUGUUUCAAUCCUUUGCUAAAAUUAAUUUUGAAGAGUUUUAUCUUUAUAAACAACGCCAAAAGAUGGGAGAAAAAAAUGGGGAUGCAAAAACUUUCUGGAUGGAACUGGAGGAUGAUGGAAAAGUGGACAUCAUAUUUGAGCAAGUGCAAAAUGUGCUGCAGUCACUGAAGCAGAAGAUCAAAGAUGGGUCUGCCACAAAUAAAGAGUACAUUCAAGCAAUGAUUCUAGUGAAUGAAGCAACUAUAAAUAACAAUUUAACAUUGAUAAAAGAUCAUAAAUCUUUGACCGAGAAUGAACAGGAAAACAAAUCAGGUUCAUUGCCAUCUACAUCAUAUGAAGACUUUGUUCCAGAAGACAGUACAGUUCUAUCUAUAAAAAAUGAGGAAUUUCCCCCUCUGGAAAAUAAAGCUGCAGACUUUAGAGAAAAAGAAUCAUCUUUGAAUUUAUCUUACAAAAGUCAUGACUGCUCUGGUACCUGUCUCACGAAAAUGCUACUAACCUUCAAGGGAGAAAACCCUCUACAGCUACCAAUUACGUGCCACUUCCAAAGACGACAUGCAAAGACAAACUCUCAUUCUUCAGCACUCCACGUGAGUUAUAAAACCCCUUGUGGAAGGAGUCUACGAAACAUGGAGGAAGUUUUUCGUUACCUGCUUGAGACAGAGUGUAACAUUUUAUUUACAGAUAACUUUUCUUUUAAUACCUAUGUUCAGUUGACUCGGAAUUACCCAAAGCAAGAAGAAAUUGUUUCUGUUCUGGAUAUUAGCAAUGGAGUGGAAUUGGUGCCCAUUUCUUUCUGUAAUGAAAUUGACAGUAGAAAGCUUCCACACUUUAAGUACAGAAAGACUAUGUGGCCACGAGCAUAUUAUCUAAACAGCUUUUCCAACAUGUUUACUGAUUCAUGUGACUGUUCUGAGGGCUGCAUAGACAUAACAAAAUGUGCAUGUCUUCAAAUGACAGCAAGGAAUGCUGAGAUUUACUCCUUGUCAAGAGAUAAAAUAGCCGUUGGAUAUAAAUAUAAAAGACUACAGAGACAUAUACCUACUGGCAUUUAUGAAUGCAGCCUGUUGUGCAAGUGUAAUCGACAAAUGUGUCAAAACCGAGUAGUUCAGCAUGGACUUCAAGUGAGGCUGCAGGUGUUCAAAACUGAGAAGAAGGGAUGGGGAGUACGCUGCCUAGAUGACAUUGACAGAGGGACAUUUGUUUGCACUUACUCAGGAAGAUUACUAAGUAGAUCUAACACUGAGAAACGUGAUACUAUUGGAGAAAAUAGAGAAGAAGACAAUAUUAUGGAAAAUACGUUUUCAAAAAAGAGGAAAAUAGAAGUUGCAGAUUGUGAAGUUGAAGCUAUCCCUUUAAAAUUGGAAACAUGUCCUAGAAGUGCUAAGAGUGAAGAAUGUCCACCCAAGUUCAAUAAUAAUCCAGAAGAGCCUGUUAUAGAAAUGAAAUACAACAAUAUUUCAAGAAUUCAGUGUCAUUCAGUCAUUAGAACUCCAGAAGCCAAGAUAGCCAUUAUUCAACCCGAUGGGAAAAAGAUGGGAUUUGCUUCCUCAGAAUCUGUCACCUUUGAAGAUAAUGAUGGAUUUGAACCAACCCAAGUACAUCUGAACUCUAAAGCCAAAGAGAUGAAAACGGACUCAAGCUCAAAUCAAGUUGAAGAUUCGGAAGACAAUUUGCUGAUUGAAUCAGAUGUGAUAGAUAUAACUAAAGGUAGAGAAGAAACUUCACCAGGGGGCAUAUGUAACCAAGCAACCACACUGGAUAAUCAGAAUAUUAUGAAGAAGUUUGAGGUUCAAAUACUAAAGCCCCAAGAGGAAAACUCUCCAGCAUGUCAAAACCAUUCUGUCUUUUGUAAUAAAGAGUUGCCAGGUGAAACCAAGAAUAAUACUUCAUGUGAAUCUCUCAAGUUCAGUAAAGGAAGAGUGUUUUUAUUGGAUGCCACAAAGGAAGGAAAUGUGGGCCGCUUUCUUAAUCAUAGUUGUUGCCCAAAUCUUUUGGUACAGAAUGUUUUUGUAGAAACACAUGACAGGAAUUUUCCAUUGGUGGCAUUCUUCACCAACAGGUAUGUGAAAGCAAGAACAGAAUUAACAUGGGAUUAUGGUUAUGAACCUGGAACUGUGCCAGAUAAAGAAAUCCUCUGCCAAUGUGGGGUUAAUAAGUGCAGGAAAAAAAUACUAUAAAUGUUGGAGCUAAUGCCUGUUCAUGAAAUUAGCUGUUCAAGCUGAAAUUAGAGCCAUAGAAAAGAAUGCUCAGUUGUCAGUGGAAUUUAGUUUUUGAUUGAUGAAGAGAAUUCCUCAGUCUUCUCUUGUCAGGGAGUUCAUUUGUGUGACUUAGAAAUGCUAGGAACAAAAUAAGGACAGUUUCAUACACAUGGGGUAUCUCUUGAUUCUUACCGUUAUUCAACUUUACAUGAGUAAGAUGGAAGUGUGUCUUUUCUAUGAAAUACUGCUAUAUAUCUUGUAAUUUAUUUGUAAGCUAUAUAUUAAGAGAAACAAAUGUUACAAUAUAAUUAAGUUGUUCUUAAUUGUUUUUUAUUAUUGUCUUUGAGUUCAUGGAUCCAAAUGGCCACAUUUCAUGACUUUACCUACAAAAUUUAUUUAUGUUUAAUUCCUGACAAUAGCGUGAGGAAUAUAGCUCCAUGAAGUACUGUCGCGUUAAACCACUUGAGUGAGAAAGGGUGAGAAGCCCUUCAAUAGAGAAGAGUUUGGCAAACUCUUUGAGGUGAAACUGCUUUCCAAUAGAUUCUCGUUAUUCCUUUAAUACAAACACAGACAGGAAAAGAGGGAAUAGAAACCUAGAGGAAUUGGAAGAUAUUUGUUCUAGAUUGAACCAUAGAAAAAGAAAACAGGAAAUUAGUCAGACUUGGCUUAUUUAGACUAGAAGAGAUUGUGCUGGGCAAGAGUUUCAUUUAAAAAACAAAACAGAAGUGAGCUUCAAGUCUGAAACAUCCUUUUGCAUUCUCCUGAGCAUGUUGUGCAAAUUGGUUUUCUAGAGAAAAAGGGAAGGUUACCUAGCGCUGGCCUAGUGGAAAGGGGGCUGGAAAUCUCCAAUAGUUAAAACUGAUUUCUCCUUAACAAAGAUGUACUGUAGUGUAUAUUCGGCUGUCAGGAACUUACCCCUUAAAAUCAGGAUGGGAAUACUAGCUCAAAAAGGAGUAAUUAAAAGGUCUCAUUUUUGAGAGAUCAUGUUGUUUUGGGGUUUUCUUUUUUUUUCUGAACUUGAGGGGUUUAGUUUGGUUACCUUUCAAAGUUCAUUCUAAGUUUAGACCCAAUUUAAUUUCUUUAAAAUAUUGAACUAGGUGAAAAUUUAACUUGAAAUUGUUUUAGAGCAUGGGGAACCAAAGAACGAGAAAGAAAGCAAAAAAUUAUAACUCAACAGCCUGUAGAUUGAUGAGAAAAGUUGAGCAGUCCAUUUAUUCACAGUAAAGAUGGCAAGAAUUUUAGGCAUUGCACUAAAAUGAAGUGAAGACACUUGAUCAGCAUGGGAAAUAUUUUUGUGUAGAAAUCCUGGUAUCUUACUCUGCUUCAGUCUGUGUUGGUUUACAGCUAUCAUCUUCCAUCAGUGUCCUAGAGACCCACUUUUUCUCUCCUGUGUCAAAUCUGUUUCCAGUUUUAUCCAUUAUUUCCUGUUUCCUUGGUUUACUUCCACAUAUUGGUGAAGCACAUCCUUCAAUACCUUUUGAAAAGUAAAAAUGAGAGGUAAAUAUUUUGAGACCUUGCAUAAAAGAAAAUAUUGUUGUACCACUACACUUGUUUGCUAUUUUGACAAGGUAUAGAAUUCCUUAGUAGCCUCCAUUCCCAAUUUUGAAGGCAUCUGCUAAACUUUCAGUGUUGCUGCUGGGACGUUUGAAGACUUUCUUGCUUUGAUAUCCAGGGUGACUAUUGGAUGUCAGAUGCCAUUCUGUUCUUUUUGUAUAUACAACCCGUUUUUAUCUCUCUUGAAGCUUAUAGUAUUACUUUGUCCCAAUGUUCUGUUCCUGGUAAGGGUUCAUUUUCAUCCCUUAUAUGGGGUGCUUGGUGGGGUCUUUCAAACAUUGUCCUUCAGGGAAAUAUUUUCUUUAAUGACUGCUCAUCUGUUCUCUCAUUCUAGAAUUCCUGUUACCCAGAUGGUAGACCUCCAGGAUUGGUUCUCUUAUUUUCUUAUCUUUUCUCUUAAUUUCCCGCUCUUGUCUUCUAGCUCUACUUUCUAGAAGACUUCAUCAACUUAAUUUUCUAAUUAGUCUAGUAUGUUUUAUUUUUCUGGUCUCAGAUUUUUUAUUUCUAGGGCUCUUUUUUCUUCCCUGAAUGUUCUUUAAUAGUAUCUUUUUUUUGGUUCUUGGUUGUAGUAUAUCUUUGAACACAUACAUUUACAUUUUCUUCAUGCAUAUUUUUGUGACCGCUAAGUUUCAUUUAUUUGUUUUCCCUGUAUGUUUCCUUUGGUCUUUGUUUGUGUGUGUGUGUGUGUGUUACAGGCUUUCCUCAGUGAUGAUAGGGUCUACUACUGCUUAAGAGUAGAACACCAGAAUGAUAAACUGAGAGUGGUGGAAGGUGUUUUUCAAAUGCUUCACAAUGACUUAGCUAGCUAAAUUAUUCAGUCUCUAAUUCAGUUUCUUUAGGACUUCCUGUUUGCCUGGCAAGGAAUAAAGGCCUAAUUCUGAGAUAUUACAGUUUGGUAAUAUACCGUAAUGAAGCAAGUAUCAUAGUAAAGCAAGUGGUAAUCUUUUUGCCGAUGGAAGGUCUUGCCUUCAAUUUGUAAAAAAAAAAAACCACAAAA